AUGGUGGGGUUGGACCGGAGUGAUAGUUUCUCUCAUCUCGUUGAAACAGUCGUUAAUCGACUUAAAGGUUGGAAGGAAAGGUUGUUGUCCUUGGGAGGAAAGGAAAUUAUUUUGAAAGCAAUUAUCCAAUCUAUCCCAGUUUAUGCCAUGGCUGUUUUUAAAAUUCCAAAGAAAAUAUGUAAAGAAAUCAUGGAUGCAAUGGCGGCCUUUUGGUGGGGGGAUACAGAGGAAGAGAAGAAAAUGCACUGGCUAGCUUGGUGGAGGAUGUGCCUUCCAAAAGAUAAAGGAGGUAUGGGUUUCGACCUCCAUGAUUUUAAUUUGGCCAUGCUAGCGAAACAAAGCUGGCGAAUGGUAACGCAUCCAGACACUCUUUGUGCUAAUGUCUUAAGAGCAAAGUACUUUCCUGAUGAAAAUAUUUAA
rnacentral:rRNA from 1 species